GGAAUUGUCCCAGAGAGGACAGAAGAGUAGAUGACAAAUAAAUGAGUCCAUGUCAUUUGCAGUGAACUACAUUUUGUUUCAGUGAACAAAUGUGCUACAAGUUUUCAGUCUGACUCCUCAAGAGGAGGGGAAAUACCUGAAUAACUCUCAGGCAAAACGGAAUGCCUGGGAAGGAAUUCACCACUACAAGAGAGAGACUGGAAAUUUCAGAGCCUGCAGUUCAAAGUGCCUGAUACUGCUUGGAAGGCAAUGUGGUUCCUUCCUGCUGACCUCAGUUCUGCUGAGUGUGAGAUUUGCAAGGGGCGGUCACUUUAAAAUCUGCAAACAUACCUUCAUUUUGUCCUUCUACUGAUUAUUUCUCUGGAGGAAAAACAAGAACACUGUUGGGAUAAGCAUUAAAGGCAAUGUUAAAAGUUUAAUUUCAGUAUGGUUCAGAAUUGAGAGGAAGUUAGAGAUCUGAGGGUUUUCGCAAGCUGCACAAUCCUAUUAACCUUCAUACCCAGACUUUUACAUAAAGUCACACUGACACAGACAAGAGGACAGAAAGUGCUACUAUAAAACCGUAGCCCUUGAUCUUAUGUCAAUUACACCAAGAAAAGUAUAUUUUAGCAUUAUAACCAUUUCCAUUAUCUUUCCCCUGUUUUGUUGUUGCUUUGUUUUUAAACAGCCACCCUUAAAAGGUAAGAUGUCAAUCUAACUUGAGAUUCAAAAAAUGCAGGAAGCAUGGAUGUUUUACUAAGGCAUAUAAAUAUUUAUUUUCUGCAAAUAUUUCUUAGUAUUUCAGUUUGAUCAGUAGUGGACAAAUCUCACACCUAAAGCUUUUGAAGUGUUCUGCCUCAUGCUCAAGUUACUGGCUGAUAGCCAGUAAGAACAUCUGGCAACCUUUCCUUAAAAGAAAACUCCUGAAUAUUUUACAGUAAAUAAUAUGCAAAUUACAGGAUUUAUUUUCUACAUUUAAAACAAACAAUGUAAAUGUGAUAUAUAUUGGAAGAGAGUACAUCAGUUCUUUACUAAUUACUAUAGGGAAAACCUAAAUACUUUACUUUGAGCUCAGGUGAAAGAAUUAUUUUGAAAAGACAACCUUGAUUCUUACAACACAACAGGCUCCUUUGAUCUGCUAUAAAUACAGACUACUUAUUUACUACCUUGUGUACUGCACUACCCUUCUUAUCGGAAUUAGUUUUAAAAAUUCCAUUGAAGUAGUUUCAGACUAGUUAAUAAAAAUCUCAGUAUUGAGAUUCUGGUAUUUAAACUGAUUAGUGAUUCAAUUUGCUCUCAUUCUGACCACUGGCAGCCAGUAUACUUCUGGGAACUCCUAGGCUGUUCCAGCCCUAUUGCUGUGGAGCUGCCUGGGGAUUAUUGAUAGUCAGAAUAAAGCAAAGACACUUCAGCUCAGCCCCUCAACCCAGCUCCCUCCAAAGCUACCCUGCUGCUCCCUCAGCUGCACCUAGAUGGCUCUUAAUGCUCUGCUGACUGUAGUAACGUGAUCAAAACCCCUAGGAGGAAGAGGUACUGUUAUGAGUAUACUUCUCAUUGCCUACAAACACAGCAUAUAGGAGAGGAAGAAAACAUAGGGAAGGAUUAUUUUCACUCCUUGAUCUGACUGGUAAUUAUUAGUUCAUUCUUUCUUUGUACAACAUUCUUGCCCCUCAAAUGCAUAAAGAAAGAAACCCCUGGCUACACACUUAAGGGAACAAAAGCAUACUGUUAGAAUGAUUUUAUUUAGAGAAAUGUUACCUUUUUUUUAUGUUUCAGUGCUGAUCUCUCCUCUGGUGACAGCAACAGGACCUGAGGGAAGGGCAUGGAGAUGCCUUGGGGGAGGUCAGGCUGGGCAUUAUAAAAAAUUUCUUCACCAGAGGGCAGUGGGCAUGGGCUCCCAGGAGCAUUUGGAUACUACUUUCACACACAGGGUUUGAAUUCUGUGUGGUGCUGUGUGGAGCCAGGAUUUGCACUCAGUGAUCCUUGUGAGUACUUUCCAACUCAAGAUAAUCUAUGAUUGUAUGUUUGAUGCAAUACAGUGGUGAGACAAAAAUUUGUUUAGAGGGUGAAAUGCAUACAGUGCCAUGCAAUGCAACCCUGUCCAGACUUUGACAGGUACAAGAGUAAAAAUUCAAAAUAAACCUCAACUUUGAAUAAAUAUCAUUAGUUGCCAUACUUUUGCCUCUAUUAUAUCAGAAUGAGUUUGUGUGAGCUUCAGCUCUACACAGAUUAGUAGUGCAAAAUCUACGGUUUUCUGAGGUGUACGAAUACACGUACACACCACUAUUAAAUGGGUGUACACAUACACAUUACAUGUGUGGUGAAAAAAUCCUAUGUGUUUAUAAACACUUAUAUGCACUAAUGCUUUUAUUUAUAUACUCAAUGCACAUACAUAUAUAUAGACAUACAUCCACAGGACUUGAUCAUUAAGGGUAUGUAUAUGUGUGCAAGUGUAGAAUAAACUAUAUGACUUGAGAAUAAAAAUGAAACAAAGUUUGUGAUGACAACAGGGGUUUUGAAAACACAGGCACAAGGACCCAGGUCUGUAAAUAUCCUAAGAAAACCUUGUGAUUAAAGAAAUACAAUUUUGGCAGCACAUGACUAACUGGUAGCAGAAUUCACCCUGGUUUUCUGACUGAGCUGUGUGUUGCAAUUGCAAUAGCAAUUUUGCUAACUAACUUACAUUUGUAUUGUGUUUUCAAAAAUGUGCUUAUCAGAAAUUCAUAUGUAAUUAUCAAGAUAUCCUAACAUAAGUAACAAUAUGCAAGGAACUUCCAUUGGCUUAAUUUUCUGAAAGGAGCAGUCUGGUACUGAACAAUUCUCACUGUGUCCUUAACUUAGUCAUAAUUAGAUGAAAAGAAAAAUCAUCUUCUUGAACACUGUGGCCUGUGCCAACGAUUACCAACUGAAGAGAUAGAAGGCAAAGAAGAAACUGCCAGAGGAAAUUCUUGUAGUGCAUUCACACUACAGCCUGUUAUUUGCAUUUGGGGAGUAGUGUUCUCAACACACCAAAAUGUUGCGAUCUCCUACAGAGAGAGAAUGAAGAUGAAUGGCUUUGGUUGGUGUAUCGAACCCAUUGCAAGGUUAAUACAGUUUUAAUUUCUCAGCUUUGCUGUAUUAAUUUUAUAUGUACUCCUCUGUGGAUUUCCUGUAAUUUGAGCGAAACGGAAUCUCCUGGUCUUUAUGCUACAGAAGACAGCGAUCCCUUACAAAGUGUUUCAAUGCACUGUAGCAUCUGAUUUAAGGGGAACAGGAUGCAAAUACAGAAAUAAAUUUAUCUUACUCCAUUUCUAAUUUAGCUGAUUAAUCCGUGUGGUACAUACAACACAACACACACAUCACCUCCUGUACUGCUGUCUGACAUUUUACAGUUUCCUUUAGCUCACCCAGAAAGCCACCGAGCCGUCUGGUGACAGAUUUUUCUUCUUUAUGAAUUCAGUGCCAUGUACUGAGAAGAACAACACACUGUCAUGCACUUCCACAGCUCCCUGUUGUGACUUCAGACACUGUUUCUCACAAAAAGUCCUCCACGGCUAUGAAUUUCAAGACUUUACUUGUGUGUAAUACACAAUGCAUUUUCAAAAUGCUAAAGAAUGUAAAGUUCUCAUUUAGAACUAAAGAUCACCUGAAGUAUUUAAUGUCCUUUCAUUACAUUAGAAGUCUUGGCAACUUUGUUUUUCAGCAGGUGGAAGCGAAGCCUAAACGUAAUAUUUACUUGGAUGCUUUAAAAGAAAAACCUUACUCUGAUAGCGACAAUAUAACUGUUGUAUAAUGCCUGGGAGGGAAAGUGCCAAAGCAUAAAAAAAUCUCCAAAGCUUAAAGACAUAUUUAUGAAUCUUAAAUGGAAGAAUUAACAGUUACAAACAUCUGGAUUUCCUUUGAAAGCUGUCUAUUAUGUUAUAGGGAUUCCCUGCUGAACUGUACAAUUCCAGAGCUGCUAUGGCCAGUACUCAGUUAUGAUAUUUGCUGUAGUUCUAGUUCUUCUGGUGGACCUUUCAUUUCAGCUAUGGAGAGGUUUCAAAAGUAAACUUUUUCUGGCUGUUCUCUACCACUGUGAUGACAUAGUAUCCAGACUGCAUGGGAGUGUCUUGAGCCUACAGAUGCAUGCACUCAGGCAAGCUUCCAAAAGACUUUGCCAAAAGUACAUCUUCCUACAAUUUGCUGCCUUACUACUGCAGAAUUAAUGCUAGUCCAGUUGAAAUGAAACAAGAUCUACAGAUAACUUGUAAAACAUAUCUACAAGGACUUUCACUGACCCUUCAUACUUUGUAGAACACCGUGUCCAGGAAGGAGAAAAAUAAUAAAAGUUUGGUGAAAAGUACUAACAGGUAAACAAAUGGACUGAAAAUUUGAAUGUCAUGGUGUAACUAGGCUCACAGAAGAUGCAAACUUCUCAAUUACAGCAAAUUCUCAAUUGCAAUUCUCAAUUGCAGCAAAAGAACCUAUGAACUUCAGAUUUGGAUCAUUGAAAAGAUGUGGUGAAGUUUACUGGCCAAAUGAAAUAUUCCCAAGACAAGUUCCAUGAAAUAUGAAGUUUUAAUACAAGAGCUGCUUCAAAAAUAAUGUUUCCCUUUUUUAUUAUGUUGGCCCACAGAGUCAGAGGUAGAUGUUGGUAGUAUGGUAGAAGAGGUUGAACUUUCACACCAUGAAGGUUUGUUGCUAUGUGACAGAUGGCAGUAGAGGGGCAGUCUGAUAAAAUGGUGUCUGCCAUGGAAAGGCAUGAGAAGAAAAAGUGUGUCAUUGAAUUUCUCCAUGCAGAAAAAAAAAAACCUGCAACCAUUGAUGGUCCUGGAUGCUUGGUGAAUGUUAAUAGAGACCAAGCAGUGGAUAUGAGCACAGUUAGGUGGUGGGUGGUGCAUUCCAACAAUGGCACUGCCAUAGCAGCUUUGAAAUAAUGGGUCAACCUCUACUGGUGCAGAUUUUUACUGGUGUGGCAUGCAAGCUCUUGUUCACUAGCUCUUGCUGGUGAAAAUGCGUAGCUAAUGAUGGUGAUUAUGUUGGAAAAUAGUGUUUUGUAGCUGAGAGUUUGCUCUAUCAAAUAGUGUUAUUGUGUUCUUUGUAUCUGUUGUAGUUUCCACGGAAAUAAAUAGGAGGCCUUACUUUUGGAGUAACCUAUGUAUUUAUAUUUCUUUUUGCACUCCUCAAGAAAUUUUGGGAGUAAUGUUAGGAUUAUGAUGAUAAAAUCGAUAAUUUCAUGAGCUAGCCCAAAAUAAUUUCAGAGAAAAAUAAUCACAUGCAAUGGAAAUACCUAUUUAUUAAGUUCCUUAUUCAUUAAUGAAAACAAAACAUUUUAUGAAAUGCCAGUUUCCUUUAUGUCUUACGUUUUUAAUUUAAGAAGGAAAUCAUUAUUAACUGCGUUUUGUACUUAAAUGGAAAUUAGCCUUGCCCGUGUAAAUGACUGCAGCAGUAAACCUGAGUAACAAGAAAUGCAUUGCUUUUCUUCUUAAAUCUGGCUUUGAAAGAAGAAAAUAAAGAUUUGUCAUCCCUUAAGGAAGCAAAUGGCCUGAUUUUGUCAUCAGUUGUCAUUUCACUCUUAACUCAAUAAAUCUUAAUCUUCAAAGUCAGUAUUGGCUUAUUAAAGAUAAACUGCAAUUCUGGAUGAUGUUUCCUCUCUUCCUGUAUUUGUUCCCAUGAAAUACACAUUACCCUUGACACAAUGGUUUUCUGUGCCUAUCCUAAGUAUCAAUUCAAUGCUAUUAAAUGCAUGUCUAAUACUAAAUAAAGCAUGCAGAUUAAGCACUCCUUAUUACAUGUACUUCAGUUUAUUGACUCACACCUUAGGUUUGUUUCUGUAUUGAGAGAGUAGUAAUUUACUGCAUGUGAUUUAUAGUUCCUAGGCAGUGGAAUGUAUAUACAUAAUGUAUUAAAUUUAAUGAAUGAUGAAAGUGUUAAAAAUUUCCGAAAUAAAAAUAGUUGUGUGUUCUUCAAAUUUA